rnacentral:rRNA from 1 species
UACGGAGGGUGCAAGCGUUAUCCGGAUUCACUGGGUUUAAAGGGCGCGUAGGUGGUUAGUUAAGUAAGUUGUGAAAGCCCCGGGCUUAACCUGGGAAUUGCAAGUUAAACUGGCUAGCUGGAGUACAUGAGAGGGUAGUGGAAUUUCCGGUGUAGCGGUGAAAUGCGUAGAUAUCGGAAGGAACACCAGUGGCGAAGGCGACUACCUGGCAUGAUACUGACACUGAGGCGCGAAAGCGUGGGGAGCAAACAGG